AUGGCGGACGGAGGCGGUGGACGGGCGGCGGAGCUGAAGGACCAGGGGAACGAGCAGUUCAAGUCGGGGAACUACCUCAAGGCCGCCGCGCUCUACACGCGGGCCAUCAAGCUCGACUCCGACAACCCCACCCUCUACAGCAACCGAGCUGCUGCAUUUCUGCAGCUGGUUAAGCUUAAUAAGGCACUUGCUGAUGCUGAGACGACAAUAAAACUGAAACCAGAAUGGGAGAAGGGUUAUUUCAGGAAAGGAUGUGUUUUGGAGGCCAUGGAGCAGUAUGAGGAGGCAAUAUCUGCUUUUCAAAUAGCUUUGCAGCACAAUCCACAAAAUACAGAAGUCGCGAGAAAGAUCAAGAGGCUUACUCAGUUAGCAAGGGAACAGAAGCGAGCUGUUGAUGUGGAGAACCUGCGUUCCAAUAUUGACAUCGGGAAGAACUUGCAGUCAUUGAAAAAGGAGCUGGCUACAAAGUAUGGAGAUGCAGAAAUGGGACAAAAUAUAUUCUCAUUUGUUAUCAGUGUGAUUGAAACAGCGAUUAAGGCUUGGCAUGACACAGGAAAGGUGGAUGCAAAGGUCAAUUUUCUUCUUGAUGAUCAGAAGACUGACACUGAAAAAUAUGCCCCAGUGGUUAACAUUGAGAAGGCCUUUGAGUCACCCCAUACCCAUGGCAGUUGCUUUGCAUAUUUGCGGCAAUACUCUGAGGAGUCUUUUUCAAAGGCUGCUUGCAUGGUAGCACCUAAGAGCAUCAUCUCCUAUCCACAGGUCUGGAAAGGUCAAGGAUCAAGAAAAUGGAAGCUUGACCAGAGUGAUGGAUUCUUUGUACAAUUUGAAUCACCAAUUUUACGGAAGAUAUGGUUUGUUGCUAGCACAGCAGAGAAGGGACGAGCAUUGUGCAGGAGCCCUGAGCCCUUGGACAUUACCAUCCACGAGAUCCUUCCUCGUAUAUUCAAAGAGAACGAAACCAGUGCUUGA
rnacentral:rRNA from 1 species